GCCCCUAUCGUCUAGUCGAGUGGUUUAGGACAUCUCCUUUUCAAGGAGGAAGCGGGGAUUCGACUUCCCCUGGGGGUG
rnacentral:tRNA from 1 species